GACGAACGCUGGCGGCGUGCCUAAUACAUGCAAGUUGAGCGCUGAAGGUUGGUACUUGUACCGACUGGAUGAGCAGCGAACGGGUGAGUAACGCGUGGGGAAUCUGCCUUUGAGCGGGGGACAACAUUUGGAAACGAAUGCUAAUACCGCAUAAAAACUUUAAACACAAGUUUUAAGAUUGAAAGAUGCAAUUGCAUCACUCAAAGAUGAUCCCGCGUUGUAUUAGCUAGUUGGUGAGGUAAAGGCUCACCAAGGCGAUGAUACAUAGCCGACCUGAGAGGGUGGUCGGCCACAUUGGGACUGAGACACGGCCCAAACUCCUACGGGAGGCAGCCGUAGGGAAUCUUCGGCAAUGGACGAAAGGCUGACCGGGCAACGCCGCGGGAGUGAAGAAGGUUUUCGGAUCGUAAAACUCUGUUGGUAGAGAAGAACGUUGGUGAGAGUGGAAAGCUCAUCAAGUGACGGUAACUACCCAGAAAGGGACGGCUAACUACGUG
rnacentral:rRNA from 1 species